CCUGUGUAACAGGAGCGCGACGGGCCCAGUUUGUUGAAGAGAAACUACACCCGGCUCCUUACACCGACCACUACCCAGGUAUUGCAGGUUUUUAUUUGUCGACGUGUCAGUGGAUAAACGAAAGAUCACAAAAUCCUGGAGUUCGGGUUGAUGACCAUCCCAAGACCCAGGGCUAAACAUGUUAUCUAUGGUGCGGCGAUUCCUGUCCACGGGACCAGUUGCAGCACGGACGGUUCAUUUUACAAGCAUUGUUCGUCUGGCUAUCACUGUUGUGGAAGACGGUACAGCAGGUACUGUUGUAUAGACGAUGGCUUCUACUACGGGAGCAUGGAUGGCGGCACCGUCGCAGGUACGGUGGUCGGGUGUAUAGUGGGUAUGGGCUUGUUCAUAGCCAUGGUCGUAUGUCUGUGUGCUGCAUGUAACAAGAGUGGAACAAGAGGUGCACGGAUUACAACUCGGCACAACCCACGGUGGCUAUAGUGAAUACAAGCAACAUGGAAGGGUACAUGUCGUCUAGCUUCCAAACCAACUCAGGAGCAGCAUAUCCCCAACAAGGAUCUGCCCAAACUUCGACUACCUUGGCGUUCUCUGGUCAAUUUGUACAGCCUCCACCUUAUUCUGUCAAAUAGAGGUACAACUGUACAUGAAACAGGAUAGCGCUGAAACGUCAAUGUGUGAUAUACAAACAGAACUAUUAUUUAUAUUUUAGAAGAUAAUUUUCCAUUCUGUGAUUUAAUGCACAGGCAUAUCCUAACUGAUCAAAUGUUUUCAGCUGUUCUGUCUCUGCGUUUUCAGUGAAACAGUAAUGUGUCAUUACAACGUCUUUGUAUAGCAUUACUAUUAAAGUGUUAUU
rnacentral:lncRNA from 1 species